CCUUGCCUCCCAAAGUGUUGAGAUUACAGGCGUGAGCCACCACGCCCGGCCUCGCUGUUUCUUUUCUAGGUUAAAAGGACACUCACUUAUCUAAGUUGAGAUUGGGGGAAAUAAUCACCUUUUGUGUCCUCAGCUGUAGCUUAGGAAUAUUUCUCAGUUGUUUUAGAGCAUUUCUCAGGUGUGAUCCAUGGGGCCACCUGCAUAUAUGCAUUUAUGACCUGGGAUGCUUGUUAAAAUACAGAUUCCUAGUCCUCAGUCCAGACCUACUGAGUUAAAAUAUUGAGGAGAGAUGGAGCUCAACAGAUGUCCUAGGUGACUCUGAUGUGGUCUAAGUCUGGGGAAACAGUACACACUGCAGUGCUUCUCCAACCUAACAGAAAUGCGGAUUCUGAUUCGAUUUCCAUGGAAGUGGAGCUACGUAACUUCUGAGGCUAAGUCAUAAUGGGCCAUGCUGCUGCCACUGUAACAGACACUCUUGGAACCCUGCGUGCCAUUUAAGAAGACUGACCAUCCUGAGUCCAUCAUGCUGGGGUCACCAAGGUGCUCUGAUUGACACUCCUAGCUGGGACUGCCUUUCAUUUUUCUCAGACUUCCCAGCCCAGGCACCAGACACAUGAGUGAAAGAGUCGUUGGAUGUGGGCCCUUCAGCCUAGGCUGUUUCCAGAUCCCAACCAUUUGAGUCCUCCCCAGCAGUUCAGAUCAUCUGAGCUGUGGCCCCAAACAUGGAGCAGUUAUGCCCUUUUCAAAUUCCUGACCCACAGAAUCUGUGAGCAUAAUAAACUGGUGGUUAUUUUAUGUCGUUA